ACUGCCCCUAGAAGCAUUGCAGGUGUGGCUGCUGUGUCACAUGUGUGUCAGUAGAUGGCAGAGAGAACAGAGGCUGUGUCUACGCUUAGCGUUCUGACCUAUGAACGUCGGAAUGAUAAGUAGCCUAACAUUC
ensembl:snoRNA